AAACCAUGUUGUAGGAAUCUUUGGAUUAACAUCUUGAAAUGCUCCCAAGCUUCGUGAAAACUCUCUCCUUCUAGUUGCUUAAAUGCAGUGAUUUCUCUCCCUAGUUG
rnacentral:snoRNA from 1 species